rnacentral:rRNA from 1 species
GAUGAACGCUGGCGGCGUGCCUAAUACAUGCAAGUCGAGCGAACAGACGAGGAGCUUGCUCCUCUGACGUUAGCGGCGGACGGGUGAGUAACACGUGGAUAACCUACCUAUAAGACUGGGAUAACUUCGGGAAACCGGAGCUAAUACCGGAUAAUAUAUUGAACCGCAUGGUUCAAUAGUGAAAGACGGUUUUGCUGUCACUUAUAGAUGGAUCCGCGCCGCAUUAGCUAGUUGGUAAGGUAACGGCUUACCAAGGCAACGAUGCGUAGCCGACCUGAGAGGGUAAUCGGCCACACUGGAACUGAGACACGGUCCAGACUCCUACGGGAGGCAGCAGUAGGGAAUCUUCCGCAAUGGGCGAAAGCCUGACGGAGCAACGCCGCGUGAGUGAUGAAGGUCUUCGGAUCGUAAAACUCUGUUAUUAGGGAAGAACAAAUGUGUAAGUAACUACGCACGUCUUGACGGUACCUAAUCAGAAAGCCACGGCUAACUACGUG